GAUGAACGCUGGCGGCGUGCCUAAUACAUGCAAGUCGAGCGAACGGACGAGAAGCUUGCUUCUCUUAUGUUAGCGGCUGACGGGUGAGUAACACGUGGAUAACCUACCUAUAAGACUGGGAUAACUUCGGGAAACCGGAGCUAAUACCGGAUAAUAUUUUGAACCGCAUGGUUCAAAAGUGAAAGACGGUCUUGCUGUCACUUAUAUAUGGAUCCGCGCUGCAUUAGCUAGUUGGUAAGGUAACGGCUUACCAAGGCAACGAUGCAUAGCCGACCUGAGAGGGUGAUCGGCCACACUGGAACUGAGACACGGUCCAGACUCCUACGGGAGGCAGCAGUAGGGAAUCUUCCGCAAUGGGCGAAAGCCUGACGGAGCAACGCCGCGUGAGUGAUGAAGGUCUUCGGAUCGUAAAACUCUGUUAUUAGGGAAGAACAUAUGUGUAAGUAACUGUGCACAUCUUGACGGUACCUAAUCAGAAAGCCACGGCUAACUACGUG
rnacentral:rRNA from 1 species